UGGGGAAUAUUGCACAAUGGAGGGAACUCUGAUGCAGCGACGCCGCGUGAACGAAGAAGGCUUUCGAGUCGUAAAGUUCUUUUAUAUGGGAAGAUAAUGACGGUACCAUAAGAAAAAGCCCCGGCUAACUACGUGCCAGCAGCCGCGGUAAUACGUAGGGGGCUAGCGUUGUCCGGAAUCACUGGGCGUAAAGGGUUCGCAGGCGGAAAUGCAAGUCAGGUGUAAAAGGCAGUAGCUUAACUACUGUAAGCAUAUGAAACUGCAUAUCUUGAGAAGAGUAGAGGUAAGUGGAAUUUUUAGUGUAGCGGUGAAAUGCGUAGAUAUUAAAAAGAAUACCGGUGGCGAAGGCGACUUACUGGGCUCAUUCUGACGCUGAGGAACGAAAGCGUGGGUAGCAAACAGG
rnacentral:rRNA from 1 species